GACGAACGCUGGCGGCGUGCUUAACACAUGCAAGUCGAACGAGAAUCAAUGGAUAGAGGAUUCGUCCAAUUGAAGUUGAGGAAAGUGGCGGACGGGUGAGUAACGCGUGAGGAACCUGCCUUUCAGAGGGGGACAACAGUUGGAAACGACUGCUAAUACCGCAUAACGCAUAGAGGUCGCAUGAUCUUUAUGCCAAAGAUUUAUCGCUGAAAGAUGGCCUCGCGUCUGAUUAGCUAGUUGGUGAGGUAACGGCCCACCAAGGCGACGAUCAGUAGCCGGACUGAGAGGUUGACCGGCCACAUUGGGACUGAGAUACGGCCCAGACUCCUACGGGAGGCAGCAGUGGGGAAUAUUGGGCAAUGGGCGCAAGCCUGACCCAGCAACGCCGCGUGAAGGAAGAAGGCUUUCGGGUUGUAAACUUCUUUGACAGGGGAAGAGUAGAAGACGGUACCCUGAAAACAAGCCACGGCUAACUACGUGCCAGCAGCCGCAGUAACAC
rnacentral:rRNA from 1 species